CCCUGAUCUAAUUUUUAAUGAUGGACGUUUCUCGAACGAAGCCAGCAAUUGCAUGAGCUCCAAAAUAAAUCAGCCACAAAAAAUUUACUUCUUGGGGCAAAUUCAUCAAAACAGAUGAUAGAUGCAACAUAGGCAGAAGGACACAAUUGAGAAACUACGAAUUCAGAUCCUUUGCCCAUGGGUAAGCAUUGCAUUGCAUCAAUAACUACCAUACAGAUACCAGAAAUCUGACCACUCUGAAUUCACAUCGUUUAGCUCAUUCUUAUCUUCUAAUAACUUGUACCAGUCAAGAAAAAGUCCAAUUAAACCAUCAGAGAUAUAAAUGCAGGUUAACACUAAAUUUUUAUAGCCCAGAUCUUCAAAUAAUUCUUGAACACAAUAAUAAUGAACUCAUAAAUGAUUACCUGCAGAUCCUUCGAUCACCAACGAACAAGCUAAGGCAAAGAUUUGAAGCACCAAUCCAAGAACUGGCAGCAUCUCCGCCCCCAUCCCACAUAAAACAACCAAUUAAUCUCUAAGAAAAACCUACCAACUCAAUCUCAAUAAUGAUAGAUAGAUUAAAGAAUCAGAACAUUGAAAGAAAAAAAAAUCCCCAAUGAAAAUAAUCCAAUCUCUUUACAGUGAAUAAAUUAUUCAAGAAAGAUAGGUAACUUAAAAGUUAUAACAAAAAAGGGGGAUUAGAUUAGAUUAAAGAAGCAGACCCACGAGCAGAAAGAGUAAGAGGCAAGCAAUAUUCAAGAAAGAUAGGCAUUUGUUUCUUGAAAAGCCUACAAAUGGGUUGGGUGAUGGUAUGAAAGAAAGCAAAGGCAAAAUAAACACAAUCAGUUUGUGGGUUGUGAUUAUGAUUAAAGAAUAAGGAAAUCAAACGAGUGUGGGAACUUUUGCAGCGAUAAAUUGGCAUGUUGUUUGGUUGCAGGAGGGAGUGAAUAAUACAUUCAACCACCGUUUGCAGUGACAUGUGAGCAAUUAAAGAUAAUCCCAACUAAGCUUUUUUCAAAGUAAAAACAACAAAACAAAUAAUCUCUUUAAUUGCUAAGCCAGUAAGAAGUAACUGGCGUCUUUUGUUUUCUUCCCAAUUCUCUCUCUCUCACGCGCACAGUGGGGAGAGAUACAGUGGAAAGAGAUAAGGGGGGAGAUGGCUCUGUGCUUGUUUACUGUAAUUUUUUUAUGGAG
rnacentral:lncRNA from 1 species